UAGCUCAGUCGGUAGAGCACCUGACUUUUAAUCAGGGUGUCCCGCGUUCGAGUCGCGG
rnacentral:tRNA from 1 species